UACAGGGGGUGCAAACGUUGCUCGGAAUUAUUGGGCGUAAAGCGCGCGUAGGCGGCUACUUAAGUCGGAUGUGAAAGCCCUUGGCUCAACUGAGGAAGUGCACCCGAAACUGAGUGGCUAGAGUACGAAAGAGGGUCGCGGAAUUCCCGGUGUAGAGGUGAAAUUCGUAGAUAUCGGGAGGAACACCGGUGGCGAAGGCGGCGACCUGGGUCGAUACUGACGCUCAGGCACGAAAGCGUGGGGAGCAAACAGG
rnacentral:rRNA from 1 species